AUUUCCAUUAGUCAUUCGUAAGGUGGAAACUAUAAACCUUCAUUUCUUGUAAACAAUUACGUUUUAUAUACGUUGGCAAUAACAAGCAGAUAGUACUCGUAAGAGUAGCAUCAUCAAUUCAAACACAUAUACCUAUCCAAGAUACCGACGACAAUUUGAUAAGAUAUGCAAAUAUUCAACGCAUAUAACAUUCCAUUAUGAGUAAAGAUAGGUUAGGUGAAUUGUUGAAGGUUAGAAAUAAAAGUGAAGUCAACAUAGAAGUCGAAAAUGUACCGACGACAAACGGAGACGUUAAUUUGAAAAAAACAUUCGAGAGAGCUGAGGUGAUAGGCCAAUGGAUAGAGCGGGU
rnacentral:lncRNA from 1 species